UACGUAGGGGGCGAGCGUUGUCCGGAUUUAUUGGGCGUAAAGAGCUCGUAGGCGGUCUGUCGCGUCUGCUGUGAAAACUCGGGGCUUAACCCCGGGCCUGCAGUGGGUACGGGCAGACUAGAGUACGGUAGGGGAGACUGGAAUUCCUGGUGUAGCGGUGAAAUGCGUAGAUAUCUGGAGGAACACCGGUGGCGAAGGCGGCAUCCUGGACCAAUACUGACACUGAGGAGCGAAAGCCAGGGGAGCAAACGGG
rnacentral:rRNA from 1 species